rnacentral:lncRNA from 12 species
UUGUAUUUCAUGAAUUUCAUUAUGAACUAAUAAAAUACUUCCGUCACAUAGGUCAUACGUGAGAGGAUACAACUGUCUGCAAUUUUCCCUUCAGAAGGAGAUGUUACAUUUCAGUUUCACUAUCCGGAUGGCUCUCGGAAACGCAGACAUUUCCAGCUGCAGAACACUAUACAAGUAACAGCCUGUUGCUAUAUACAUCUGUAUUAUAAGUUUUCAGAUUUACAUAAGUGGUUAAUUGCAACUUGUUUCCCUUUUCUAGCAACUCAUAUUCUAUGCAGGAGCAGUGGAUUCAGCAACUGAAUCACUCUGCUUGAUAUCACACAGUCCAGCUGUUGUAAUAACAACCUCGUCUAAUGGGAAAAUAGGAGACUACAUCACCCAAUCCACCACAUUUUUUGUUCGCUGGAUGGGAGCUGAAGAUGACUCUGUAACACUGUGUGACAAUGUAACACCUGCUGGAGUCAACCAAGCUGAAGCAGCCAUUCCUUCCAACUCGACUGUUCCCUCAGCCUCCAUGGACACUUUCGACCCAAAUGUUCCCUCUGCCUCCAUGGACACUUUUGACCCAACUGUUCCCUCAGCCUCCAUGGACACUUUCGACCCAACUGUUCCCUCUGCCUCCAUGGACACUUUCGACCCAACCGUUCCCUCUGCCUCCAUGGACACUUUCGACCCAACCAAUCCCUCUGCCUCCAUGGACACUUUCGACCCAACUGUUCCCUCUGCCUCCAUGGACACUUUCGACCCAACUGUUCCCUCUGCCUCCAUGGACCCUUUCGACCCAACCGUUCCCUCUGCCUCCGUCGACACUUUCGACCCAACUGUCCCCUCUGCCUCCGUUGACACUUUCGACCCAACCGUUCCCUCUGCCUCCGUGGACACUUUCGACCCAACCAUUCCCUCUGCCUCCGUGGACACUUUCGACCCAACUGUUCCCUUUGAAUCUAUGCACUCUCCGGCCUCCGCCUCCACCUACACCUCUACCUCGACCAGCACAGCAGUGAGUGAUACUAGGUAAUAUGUUUUUUUUACUACAAACUACAAUUGUUUGACCCUCAUUGUAUGUGAUAACUAGCAGUGGCACUGCAGUGUUCAAACUGAUUCACUCAGUUUGUCACUGUACAGUACAAGAGUACAGCUUGAGAGCUUGCUGAAGCCUAUGCAGUGCAUUCAGAAAGUUUGGUCAAUUAAAUUGAUUGGACAUGAUUUGGAACGGCACACACCUCUAUAAAAGGCCUC